CCUACGGGCGGCAGCAGUGGGGGAUAUUGGACAAUGGGGGGAACCCUGAUCCAGCGACGCCGCGUGAGUGAAGAAGUAUUUCGGUAUGUAAAGCUCUGUCAGCAGGGAAGAAAGAAAUGACGGUACUUGACCAAGAAGCCCCGGCUAACUACGUGCCAGCAGCCGCGGUAAUACGUAGGGGGCAAGCGUUAUCCGGAAUUACUGGGUGUAAAGGGAGCGUAGACGGUUAAGUAAGUCUGGAGUGAAAGGCCGCGGCCCAACCCCGGGACUGCUCUGGAAACUAUUGAACUUGAGUGCAGGAGAGGUAAGCGGAAUUCCUAGUGUAGCGGUGAAAUGCGUAGAUAUUAGGAGGAACACCAGUGGCGAAGGCGGCUUACUGGACUGUAACUGACGUUGAGGCUCGAAAGCGUGGGGAGCAAACAGGAUUAGAUACCCUGGUAGUC
rnacentral:rRNA from 1 species